CUCAUCGUCUCUCUCAACUCACUCCUCUCACAGACCACCCUAAGAAACCCUAGAUCCGCCUCCUUUUCCACCGCUUGUCGCCGGCGGCGCCGGUCCCAAACCACUCCAAAUUGACACCACAGAACCACCAUGACCCCCUUGUAUUAAAUCCCCACUCUGUUUCCCUCGAAUCUUGCUAGAGUGUCUCUAAUCUUAAAUAUAAGGUUCGAGCCCCAGAAGUCAAAGCUAAAUCUGUAUAUGAAAGGGUGUUUCUCCAGUUUUCAUGAUUGUUCAUGGCCGGUUUUAUCAUGAAAUAACGUUAUUCGCUUGUUCUUGACAAAGAACAAGCGGUUGACAUUAUUUGGGGGUUUAAAUCGGAAAGUCAGUUGCAAGUUCGAGCCUGAGUUGGUGAGUUUCUUUCUUUUCUUUUGUUUACUCUUGUGAUUGUUUCAGCUUUCUUUCCUUUUCUCUUCUUCUCUUUCUCUCCGGUUAAUUAAACUAAUACUUGAACAAGUUUUUAGCUAAGAUUGAGUACUGUCCAUUUUGUUCCUUUUUCAGUUUUUCCUUUCCAAGUUUUGUUCUAUGAUUUUUUGCUUGGUCUAUUUAAUUCUUUUGUUAACAGCAUGAUUAAUUUCUGAUUUCACUUUGUUUGUUUAGCCAUUUAGUUUAACUAGGUUUAUAUGAUAAUUUAAUCCCUUAGUUUAGGUUUUAAGUUUUGUGAAAAUUGUUUAGUCGUUUUCCUACUGCUUGCCAUAAUUUGCUCAAUCUUGGUUUGAUUCAUUUUACCGUUUGGGCUCUGAAUUCAUUUCAGAAUUCAUUCCAAGGAAUUUGAAUUGAGUUUUUGAGUCCAGGCCUGGUUUAACCAUUGGGUCAUUUGACCCAUGACCCAUUUGAGGUCCUGGGGGUAAUAUUUAGGGGUUUGAGGGGUAGUUUGGGAACUUUGGCUUAGGGAAUCUUUAGUAUCUGCUGUGAGAAGGUUCUAGGAAGCUAGAGAGGGGGAUUAUUCUGAAUUUCUGAUUUCUAAACUAGGGGUAUUUGAGCAAAAAUGAAAACUCUAGAAGGUUUGAAGUGCAAAACAUAGUUCAUUUCUGCAGCCCUAAUGACUUGCCUAUAAAGGCACCAUUACUUGACAUUCAUGGGGGAUCGGAAAAGAUUAAAAACGUCCAGAAAAUUGAAACGGCUAAAACUUGGGAAUAACACUGAUUUCCAUGCACUUUCUUUGUGACAAAUUGCUAAAAAUUUCUGCGUAGUGUUGAUUUGCUGAUCUUCUUCACUAGUUGAAUCUCUGAAAACUUCAAAUCUUACACCUGGGUUGAAGAUGGUAUGAUUUUGGGAUUGUGAAAUCUGGUUUUGAGUUGUUGUGGGGUUUUACUGUUCCAUUUGUUUUUUUCUGAGCUGAUUUCACUGUUUUAUUGGCUGCAUCUGGUUUGGUUUCAGUUACUGCUUACUGCUGAUCCCUCACUUCUUUUGGUUUUUCCCUUCUUCAUUACCAGGCAUUCUCUUAAAACUAUGGUAUAAAUGAAGCCUGAUUAAGCUGUGUGUAAAGAUCUGUGACCAAGCUGGAUUUGAAUGAAAAGGCAUUAGCCUCUGUUAUGAUUACUGUGCAAUUCUGCCAUGUAUUAUUCAUGUUUCUAGUCUAGUUUAUUGUGAAGGCCCCAUUCCAUGAUAUACAGUUAGUUUCAAAUGCUGAAGUUGAACUUUUCUUGAGUAUAAAAGAUUCAAGAGUGCUUUACACUAGGUGGAACAUGUAAUAAUUAAGGAUUGUGAUAUGUAGUUUAAUCAAUUGAAACUAUUUGGCUUUUGGUUUGUGUUUUUCAUAGCCAUAGGUAAACGCAUGUCGACUCAGAUCAUUUGCCUAAUGAAUUUGGUUUAAGUUUGUUUUCCCAGUAAUUGUGCUCAAAUUUGCACCCGUA
rnacentral:lncRNA from 1 species